rnacentral:rRNA from 1 species
UACAGAGAGUGCAAACGUUGUUCGGAAUUACUGGGCUUAAAGCGCACGUAGGCGGCAUCGCAAGUGUGGGGUGAAGUCCCACGGCUUACCCGUGGAACUGCCUGGCAGACUGCGAUGCUCGAGUGUGGUAGGGGAGAGCGGAACUCCUGGUGGAGCGGUGAAAUGCGUAGAUAUCAGGAGGAACACCGGUGGCGAAGGCGGCUCUCUGGUCCACAACUGACGCUGAGGUGCGAAAGCUAGGGGAGCAAACGGG